GCUUCCAGGUGAGUCCACAGCUUCUUAGAGAUUCCUGGUGAUGAAAACUUUCUCAGCACUCAAAGCAUCUCUUUGAAAUACAGAGUGUGAAAGAUUGCAGCUGCCUGCCUUGUCUACUUGUCAAGCUGAAGCAGUUCCUUUGCUCACUGUCAUCUGGAUGCAAUGUCCUCAAAGGACAGUGCAACCACCUUCUAAAUAGCAGGUGGCACCCUUUCCUCUGUUUAUGAAAGGAAGACUUUGUAAACAACUUUUAAAUAAUUUGCAAUGUAGCAAACUACAGGCCUCUUUUUUUCAUUCCUUCCCAUUGUUCUCCUCAUCCUUUUGCUAAUCAUGUCUUGACAUAUAUCUGAAGCCCAGAGGGAGAAAGGGACAGGCACCGAGGACAGAAGGGCUGGACAGAACUGGAAGGUGGGUGUAACUGAGUCACACCAUGUGGGAGAAAAUCUUAUGCACUGGCUGUAGCCAAAGAGGGAGGUGACACAGGUUGAUUCAUGUUUGAAACUCUUCAGGUUGGCACAGGUUUGUGGGACACACACAGAGUAAUUCUGAUGUUGAUUGAAAUGCCACUGUAUUGCUUAAAAAAGAAAUAAAGGCACUGAUAGCUUUUCA
rnacentral:lncRNA from 1 species